GCUUAUUUUAUCCAGGAGUUCUAGGUAAGACCACUUUUUCAAAUAUCCUCUGAACGUUGACUUAGGUGCACACACCUGUGCUUCCAUUGGCAACAAAAGCUUUGAAUGCACAGGACUUCCACGGCAUGAAAUGCAUUUACAUACAUUACAUAAGAGAGAAGCAAUGAGCAAGUCUGUUGCUGGGAGAGGCUCACAUCCUUCUCACCAAAUCAAUCUGUAACUUUCAAAUAGCUCUGCUGUAUUUCCUAGCAACAGGAGUAAACACUGUACUACAUCCAGUGCCCAAGAUUUGUAACCACGUUAAUCUGUUAGAAGCCUAGAUGUGUGACUGGAGAUGCCUCCUGUCCAUUCAAUCUGACUCCAAUGUGGUUCUGCAGCACUGGACAAAGAUGGGAGAUUGAAACAGGAGCCCCUGCGAUGGGGGAACAGAGCCAGGGAGCAGGGGUUGGACAGAACCCAGGUUUGAGAAAACAACCUUGUGAACCUUCUAUUGGAGCAGCAAUAAAGAUCUGAGCUAAGUGUCGAGGGAGGCUGAGGAGGUGGUCACUAAGUCUGUCUUAGGCAUCCCAGGGUCUCCUCAGAGUCCAAGCCUGAAGUCCACUGCAGGGGUCACCAGCCACCUGUGGCCACAUUGGAAUGUGGCCAUUCUGAAUUGAGGAUUGAUGACCAAAGAAGGCAGCUAUAAUGUUUUAUUCUCAAGAUGAUGGUUACUCAUCUUAGAAUAAAAACAACAACAACAAAAAAUAACAGAUGAAUGGGAAGAGCCCAAUCAAAGCUUUAUUCUACUCCUCAACAACUCAGGUGAGUGUCUGGCCACUUGGCAGUCGCCAGGAGGAAGGAGCUUAGUGGCAGACAAACUGCUUCAAAUCUCUAAAUCUUUGUUUCCUCAUCUGUUAAAAAAAAAAAAAAAAAAAAAAGAUGAUAACAGUGACGCCUCCUACCUAGGGCUGCUGUGAGAACUAAAUAAGAAAGUAAUUGUAAGGCAUCUUUUAAGUACUCAAAACAGAGUGCCUCAUAAAUAUUAAUUAUUAAAUAUCCUCUCUGAUGAUAGGGGGAAAAGGAUUCCUUAUCUGGUCUCUGACCCAUAGAUUUUAGCCUGGAGAUUUACUCUGGGUCACUGAUAUUUUCCAGCCUCCUCCUUAAGGUUGUUAUUAGUGACCAAGUAAUAAGUAAGUAUAUAAACCAUUGAGAAAACUGUUGAAAAAGUGUCUGAGCAGCAGCUUCAAAGAGAAUCUGUCUUCAUGUCCCAGUAUCCUAAGAGGCAAAUGUGAAAAUCAAUUUAAAGGAAAUAGAAUAUACCUAAAGAAAGUCACCUGAAAAAAUGAAAGAUGAAUGAUUCAACACACAUUUUUCUCUCAUUUAUUUAAAAAUUUUUGAGAUACAUGGUGGGCAAGGCACUGUACUGAGCACAGGAUGUGCAAAGAUAAGGAAGUAAGUCCAGCUCUCAAGACAUUUAGUCUACAGAGGGAGACACACAUGUAUAUCCAACGCCAUACGUACCACAGGAUAAAGUGUGAUGUGGGGAGAGGCUGGGAGGGGAUGUUCAGCAGGGGCUUCUUGAAAAAGCAACACUUGAGAUGAGUUUGGAAGGAUAAGUAAAUGUUUAAUAGUUCAUAGUUUGAGAAAGAAGAAACAAUAUUCCACAGAGACAACAGCCCAUGUAAAAGCACAUGCAAUGAAGCAUUUAAGCAUGGGGAUAAUAUGGGCAGCUAGAAGAAGGCGUUGCUGAACAUACCAGCACCUACCCAUCCCCUGCACCCACAGGAGGAGGCAGGACUCACCUCAGAGAGAAUCUUGGAAUUCAUGGUAGGAGCCUGUACUUUUCUCCAGGACUAUGACAAGGUUUGGAAUGGUUCUUAGCAGGGAGUUAUAUAAUUCAAUUUUAUCUAUUCUUUAGAAAGAGCAAGCAGGCAGCGGUGAGGAGGAUGGAUUGAAAGCUGAGAGACUGAAGGCAGCAUUUGUAGAGGUGACUUGGGAAGAGUGAAACAUGAAAGGAAGUGGAGCAGGAGGUCUUGGUGACUGAUUAGGUGGAGGAAGAAAGGGAGAAGGUCAGAUCGAGAUCAUUCCCAGGUCUCUGGCUUGGAGGUGUAGUGAGAGGAUGAUAUGCCUGUCAGGGAAAACAGGUGUUAUAGUAUUUAAUAGAUAUCUGCUGUUUCUGCACGCACAGCAUCUCCUAUCUCUUCUUUUCAAUAUUUCCUUUUAAAAACUACCCCUUCCCUGCUCUCAGGUUAUAUGGUUUAGAAGAGUUUUGCUGACUAGUCUCCCAUGUACUUCCUUCACUCCCAUACACUCCUUCCCACCUGCCGUCACACAUACCACUCUCCCCUUCCAAAAGCCUCCAGGACUGGGCUCAUAAUCAAAGCUGAGUCAAGUGGCAUGGUCCAAAUCUCCGGCCAUAGGGUCUGGUUCAAGCAUAUGCAUGUGAUCAAAGUGGUCUAAUUAAAGUUAAUCCUGAAUUCUCUUUUUCUCAGGAGUUAAGCCUAAAGCUGCAGAUGAAAAUUUUGCCACCAUGAAGAAAAGAAGAAAUCAGAAUUGGAUUCUUUCUGAACUUUUCCUUUACAGUAGCCAGUAUAUGCCCUUUCCUACUUGAGCAAGUAUAAACUGGGUUUCUGUGAUUUGCAACCAAGUGUCCUGACAAACACAAGGAUGAAAGACAACUGUGUCUCAAUAAAGGAAAAAUAGUUUAUUUUUAUGAGUGGUGGAUUUAAAAAACCUACAUUACUGUGACAAGAGUACCUUAAAACAUUUAAGUCUACAAAAGGCACUUAGGGACUUUAUAGCAAACUCUACACUUAUAAUGAAAAGCCAGACCAGAUCAUUUUAAAAAAACGUUACUGCACGAGAUAAUGGCACAUCCACUCGUUCAAUUAACAUUUAUUGAGUGUCUUCAGGGGUUUUAGACUUGUGCAAUAAAAAUGAUAAAAACGUAUUCUUUGGUUUGAGCUGGUCCAUCCAAGGUCGUUCCAUAAAGAGCAGCUGUGUAUGCUGUUCAGACUAAUUGUGUGAAGCUGGAGAGGCCAGGUGUUUCUGUCUGGCCCAGCAGCUGCACUUUGCGGUAAGGGCACCACCUGAAUUUCAGUCUGGCCAUAAAAUGAGGCUGAAGAAACAGCACCUUGCAUGAGCUUUUAGGUGAAAGGCAGAACAG
rnacentral:lncRNA from 1 species